GAUGAACGCUAGCGGCAGGCUUAAUACAUGCAAGUCGAACGAACAGCAAUGUUAGUGGCGCACGGGUGCGUAACGCGUAUGCAACUUGCCUUUAACUGGGGGAUAACGUUUCGAAAGAGGCGCUAAUACCGCAUAAUACAGUGAAGACCAAAGAUUUAUCGGCAAAGGAUGAGCCCGCGUAGGAUUAGCUUGUUGGUGAGGUAAAGGCUCACCAAGGCGACGAUCCUUAGCUGGUCUGAGAGGAUGAUCAGCCACACUGGGACUGAGACACGGCCCAGACUCCUACGGGAGGCAGCAGUGGGGAAUAUUGGACAAUGGGCGAAAGCCUGAUCCAGCAAUGCCGCGUGAGUGAUGAAGGCCUUAGGGUUGUAAAGCUCUUUUACCAGGGAUGAUAAUGACAGUACCUGGAGAAUAAGCUCCGGCUAACUCCGUG
rnacentral:rRNA from 1 species